rnacentral:lncRNA from 1 species
CACCCUGACUUUUGCGGAAGCGUGAUUAUGGGGUGACUUACUUGUUAUCAUUGCAUUCAACCAUAUCAAACAAUCUAUAUGAUAAUACCAAAGAUUUGUCAUCCAUAAAAUGAGUUUAAAACAUAACAACAUUGUCUAAAACGUAGACUUCAAAAUUUAAGUUUUACAAACCAGAUGAAUUGUGUAAAAGUUUGCUAAGGACUCGUCAAAGAUAAUAGUUGUAAUCCAAGUUUGGAAGACGUGUCUCGUCCAGGAUUAAGACACACUGGCCAAACCUAAAAACCAUGGAUGACAUCUUUAUACUUAAUCAUGACUUGAAAUUCCAACGCCUGCCAGAUCCAUACUUAAUUUCCUGAAAUACAUGUACAAUAAGGAAAAACAGAUCAAUUAAUGUGUAGCUAAUACAUUAAUAAGUGAUAUGGCCUAGGAAGCACUCAAACCUGUAACGCGUACUUCAUACCGGUCCUUCCGGUGGAACGACAUAGUCACCACAUGCAGCCACACGCUGGCCCAUGUGUGGGGCUUGCAACACCCAAUAGAUCUAUCACUCAUGCCUCUCGGUCCUUAUACAAGGAUUAAUGGUCUUACGAUAAUAGCCUAUCCAUUCACGUGAUCUAACAGUAAGUUCCUUAGCUAAUCAUACCAUGUAUAAAAAUGUCUGUAAAUGUCUGUAAAAGUCUGUA